rnacentral:lncRNA from 1 species
AAUUCCAACUCCUACCAUUAAAUUUAAAAAAGAAUUUCAAUUUUUCCCCAAAAAAAUCUACCAUUACUAGCAUUCAACCUUCUUUAUUUUCCUAUAACCAUGACAACGGGUGAAAUUUUCUACAAAUUAAAUAGGGCCAAAUUUGAUUUGAGUAAUACAUCAUUCAUCAACCAUUAGCAUCAAUCAAUUGAAGUUAUUAAUUU